rnacentral:rRNA from 1 species
UGGGCGUAAAGGGCUCGCAGGCGGUUUCUUAAGUCUGAUGUGAAAGCCCCCGGCUCAACCGGGGAGGGUCAUUGGAAACUGGGAAACUUGAGUGCAGAAGAGGAGAGUGGAAUUCCACGUGUAGCGGUGAAAUGCGUAGAGAUGUGGAGGAACACCAGUGGCGAAGGCGACUCUCUGGUCUGUAACUGACGCUGAGGAGCGAAAGCGUGGGGAGCGAACAGGAUUAGAUACCCUGGUAGUCCACGCCGUAAACGAUGAGUGCUAAGUGUUAGGGGGUUUCCGCCCCUUAGUGCUGCAGCUAACGCAUUAAGCACUCCGCCUGGGGAGUACGGUCGCAAGACUGAAACUCAAAGGAAUUGACGGGGGCCCGCACAAGCGGUGGAGCAUGUGGUUUAAUUCGAAGCAACGCGAAGAACCUUACCAGGUCUUGACAUCCUCUGACAACCCUAGAGAUAGGGCUUUCCCUUCGGGGACAGAGUGACAGGUGGUGCAUGGUUGUCGUCAGCUCGUGUCGUGAGAUGUUGGGUUAAGUCCCGCAACGAGCGCAACCCUUGAUCUUAGUUGCCAGCAUUCAGUUGGGCACUCUAAGGUGACUGCCGGUGACAAACCGGAGGAAGGUGGAGAUGACGUCAAAUCAUCAUGCCCCUUA